UCCGUAUUAGGUCAGUAUUAACUCCAUAGUUUCAACGUUAACUUAGAUGAACCCCUGAAGGAUUUUUUUCCUCCUCCAUCUGGUGAGGACUUUCAUACUUCACAUCAGGACUAAGAUUCAAUCCUCUUGCAAAAUCUGCCUUGGACAUAAAAUGAUACAGACUGGAGAUGGCAUCACAAGACCUGGAGGAAGAAUGUCACUGGUCACCCUGUGGCUCUGAAGAACACCAUCCUUGUGGGCUGAGAAAAACCCUUUGUCUGCUGAGAAGGGGAGGAAAACAGUUCAAAGUGAACAUCCAUGCCUCCAUCCUUAUGCUGCCUCCAACAUGGAUGAUGAAUUGAGAUGCUACAACAAAAACAAGCCUCUUGGCUCAGGCUGCUGUCACCAUUCCUUGCAUAAGAGUGUCCAAGAGCUUCACAAAUGAUUUUGUAAACACAAUGCAGCAGGAGAGAGGAAAUAUGUUUAUGUCUGUAAUGAAACCUGCAACCAUCACUAAGUGCUCCGCGCAACGCAGCUCUUGCAGGCAAGUUCCCUGGUUCCUGCCUGCCCUAUCUCACCAUCCAGCUUUGUUUAUCUUUUCGUGUAAGAGAUAACUCAUCAUCCCUCUUUUC